rnacentral:rRNA from 1 species
UACGGGGGGGGGCAAGCGUUGUUCGGAAUUACUGGGCGUAAAGGGCGCGUAGGCGGCCUGCUAAGUCGGAUGUGAAAGCCCCGGGCUCAACCUGGGAAUUGCAUUCGAGACUGAAUAGCUAGGGUACGGUAGAGGGAAGCGGAAUUUCCGGUGUAGCGGUGAAAUGCGUAGAUAUCUGGAGGAACACCGGUGGCGAAAGCGGCAUCCUGGACCGGUAUUGACGCUGAGGUGCGAAAGCGUGGGGAGCAAACAGGG